UAAAACCCUUAUAAACCCUAAUUCAUUAAAACCCCGUCGAACUAAAUCUCUGUUUCUUCUCACACGCAGCUGAAACAGAUCGAUUCAUCGACCUUUAGCUAUGGCCACCUCCGUUCUGCUUCGACAAUUACGACGCCGUGACGUUGCCUCCGCCCCUAUCUCCGCCUACAAAUGCGUACGUCAAUUUUUAAACUUAAUAUAAGCAAUCGAUUUUUGGGAAUUUCUCGUAUUUUUAUGUUUUGGAUUGAUCUGUAUCGUGGGUAUUUGUUUGCAUAUGAUUUUUUUUUGUAAAGUCUGUUACUUUCUCGAUUUUAGAUACUGAUUCUUGCUAAACUUUGGAUUUCUGGAGCUUGCUGCUCUUGUGGUAUUGGUUUUCAGCUUAUAAUUUCAUCUAGGCUCUGCCGUUCUGUGUUUUAUAUGAAAUAUAAAGUAAUCGAUUUCACUUUUUAUUUCACCAUGGUAUUCGAAUAAAUUGACGGUCUCUCUAGUAUCUGCCUAUGCAAUGAAUUAACUUUUUUUGAAACGUUGUUUGCAGGUUUGUUUAACGUAUGGGUUUCUUUUUUAAGGAUUGAUUGAUGUCGUGAUACUUGUUAUUGUUAAUUUUUUUUUUGGGGGGGGGGGGGAUGAUUCACGUUGUGAUUUUUUGUGUACUUGUGUUAAAUUUUAGAAUCUUAUAAAAAUAAAUUGUUAGUGGAUAUGUGAUUCUUAAUAUUUGUAAUGGUGGUUGUUGCAGUUUACUAGCAAUGUUAAGCCCUCAUGGGCCCCUUCUAAUCUGGGUAAAAGUUGGGCAAGUUUGACUAGACCUUUCAGGUAUUCAUGUUUUUGCCUGCUGUUUUUAUCUUGGAUGUUUAAGUGGAUUUCUUAUGAUUGUUGUUUGUAACUCUUUGAAUUUGUUUGUGCAGUUCAAAACCUGCUGGUAAUGACAUUAUUGGAAUUGAUCUCGGAACUACCAACUCAUGUGUUGCACUUAUGGAGGGAAAGGUAAGAAUGCCUUGUGUUUUCAAUAUAUUUUUCUACAUGGUCAUGUUCAUAGCUUUUGACAGUUCAGGGAUUGUUUCUGAUUUAUUUUUAUGUUAUGCAUAGAACCCCAAAGUUAUUGAGAACUCUGAAGGAUCUAGGACUACACCCUCAGUUGUAGCUUUCAAUCAGAAGGGAGAGCUACUUGUGGGUACACCAGCAAAGCGUCAGGCUGUGACCAACCCAACUAACACGCUCUUUGGCACCAAGCGUUUAAUUGGUAGAAAAUUUGAUGAUCCCCAGACACAAAAAGAAAUGCAGAUGGUUUCAUAUAAGAUAGUAAGGGCCCCCAAUGGGGAUGCUUGGGUUGAAGCCAAUGGGCAGCAGUACUCGCCAAGUCAGAUUGGGGCCUUUGUUCUGACCAAGAUGAAAGAAACUGCAGAAUCCUACCUUGGAAAGUCAGUUUCAAAAGCAGUAAUCACAGUUCCAGCUUAUUUCAACGAUGCUCAAAGGCAAGCUACUAAGGAUGCUGGUAGAAUUGCUGGCCUUGAUGUUCAGAGAAUCAUUAAUGAGCCUACAGCUGCUUCACUUUCUUAUGGCAUGAACAACAAGGAGGGUCUCAUUGCAGUAUUUGAUCUUGGUGGCGGAACAUUUGAUGUCUCAAUCCUUGAAAUUUCUAAUGGAGUAUUUGAGGUAUUAAUUGUUUGAUAAUUUGAAAUGUUAUGUUACUGAUUGUUUAAAAAAGUGAUACUAAUUACCAUAUCAUGCAGGUGAAAGCAACAAAUGGUGAUACGUUCUUGGGGGGAGAGGAUUUUGACAACACUUUGUUGGAGUUUUUAGUGAGUGAAUUUAAGAGGACUGAAGGAAUUGAUCUGUCAAAGGAUAGGCUUGCAUUGCAGAGGCUUCGUGAGGCUGCCGAGAAGGCGAAGAUUGAACUUUCAUCAACAACCCAGACUGACAUUAAUCUUCCAUUCAUCACAGCUGAUGCGUCAGGUGCAAAGCAUUUGAAUAUCACACUUACUAGAUCCAAAUUUGAGACUUUGGUGAAUAACCUGAUUGAGAGGACCAGAGCCCCUUGUAAGAACUGUUUGAAGGAUGCCAACAUUACCACAAAGGAUGUGGAUGAGGUACUUUUGGUUGGAGGAAUGACCCGUGUGCCAAAGGUGCAGGAAGUGGUCUCGGAAAUCUUUGGUAAGAGUCCAAGCAAGGGAGUAAAUCCUGAUGAGGCAGUUGCCCUUGGUGCUGCUAUUCAAGGUGGUAUUCUUCGCGGCGAUGUCAAAGAGUUGCUUCUCUUGGAUGUUACACCUCUGUCACUGGGUAUUGAGACACUAGGUGGUAUCUUCACCAGGUUGAUCAAUCGCAACACAACUAUUCCAACAAAGAAGAGUCAGGUGAGUAACCUUCAAGUGCUUUACAUCAACACGUGUGAAUAAUUUUGAAGUGACCCAUUUCUGCAGAAACAUAUGUGAAUAUUUAAUUUUUUGUUUUAGAAUAAUCUGACAUGGCCAUAUGAAUUUUGAGUAUGCAGUUGUAGAGACACAACAUAGGGUGGACAGAUGUUUCCUGAUUUAUUAAGCCACUUGUUUUCAUAUUCCAUGGUGCUGGUUGUGGCAUUGUGCCCAAGGAUCUGACUAGUAGUUUUUGCUCUUUUUUUUUGGCCUCUGGUCCAAUGGAUACAUAUACUGUCACAAAGCAUCUUUAUGAUUUUUUUUUUCUUUGUUCUCCAUGACAUGAUGGUCAAACUGAUUGGUGUUCCUUUGUCUACAGGUCUUCUCAACAGCAGCUGAUAACCAGACUCAGGUGGGGAUUAAGGUGCUUCAAGGUGAGCGCGAAAUGGCAUCUGACAACAAGUCCCUAGGAGAGUUUGAACUUGUGGGCAUUCCACCAGCUCCUAGAGGCAUGCCUCAGAUUGAGGUCACAUUUGACAUUGAUGCCAAUGGUAUUGUCACUGUUUCUGCAAAGGACAAGGCCACUGGCAAGGAACAGCAAAUUACCAUCCGCUCAUCUGGAGGUCUAUCAGAGGAUGAAAUUGAGAAGAUGGUUAAGGAAGCAGAAUUGCAUGCCCAGAGGGAUAACGAAAGAAAAGCUCUGAUUGAUAUCAGAAACCAGGCAGAUACCACCAUCUACAGCAUUGAGAAGAGCUUGGGUGAGUACAGAGAAAAGAUUCCCAGUGAGGUUGCAAAAGAGAUUGAGGAUGCUGUUGCAGAUUUGAGAAAGGCCAUGGGAGCUGACAAUGUUGAUGAUAUCAAGUCCAAGCUUGAUGCAGCUAACAAAGCUGUCUCUAAGAUUGGACAACACAUGGCUGGUGGUUCUGGUGGUGGUGCUGCUUCUGGAGGUUCCCAGGGUGGUGAACAGACUCCCGAGGCUGAGUAUGAGGAGGUGAAAAAGUGAGCACAGAGGUAGUAAAUUUCGUUCGUUGAUGCUUCAAAAGGAGUCGGACAUUCAGGGAUGAGUCUUGUUUUGAUUUGUAGUUUUAGGAUAUAUGGCGGUUUUGUAUCUAAAUUUUUAUUUAUUCAAGUUGUUAGGAUAACGUUUUACUUUAUUUUGAGAAACUGCACGAGCAAGUUAAAACCCUUUCCGGUGUAUGGUUUAACAUGAAUUUUUCAUGAAAUAAUUCCAUUGUUUACUUCUUGUGCUGUUGCGCUGCUUCUGGGACUCUCCACGAUAUCUUAGUGUUGACACUUCACGUUUGGUGUUUCUCGAUGAUCCUACAUUUCUUUUAGGUUCAAAAGCUUAUUUAAGCCAACAGAUGGUAGGUAUUGAUUAAAAUUUCAUUUUCAUCCUUUUAAUUAUUUUAUCUAAAAUUUGAAUGGAUUUAAUUUUUUUUAAUAUUUAAAUAUUAAAAAGAGUUCUGAUAUUUGUCUCGGGUCAACCCCAAAACUAAACAAAAUAACGUUGUUUUAUUUAUUUAUUUUUUCUUUUUUGCUUCUCCAAAAUGUUGCCGUUUCACUUACCAUUUCCAAUACCCAGAAGAAGAUACCAAUUACGAUUUGAUGUCACCCCCAAUACUAUUGCAGCAAACUUGGCUCCUUCCCCGUUACCAGCUCGAAGUUCGUUUGCAACUCUCACUCUGCAGUACAUAUUUCAUACAUAACAAACACUGGUCGAUCUAUAUAUCUCUCAGACACAUGCAAAUCAUUGAUAGUCAGACCUUUGAUGGCAAUAGUGAUUUGCUAUUAAUCUCUUGUGACUGAAACUUAUUUGAGAUCUGAGAGAUAUUAUAGCCAGGCAUUUGAUUUAGGAAAAAAGAAUUGAAAAAAAAUUAUAAAAGGGCAGCGAGAGUGUUACCCAGUUGAAGCAAAGAAUGGAGAGGAAUCAUCAUUUCUCAGCAAAUUAUUUUAACUAAUAAGCAUUUGAAGAAACGAAGAAACGAAGAGAUUUACGGUGAAAUGAAUUGCGAAUGACUAGCUCUUCUAUCUGUCUCGUUCCCAGGUGAAACGAAGAAACGAAGAGGAAGAGAUUUACGGUGCAACUCUUCAUUUUGCAAAUGGUAAGUGAAACGGCAACGUUUUGGAGAAGCAAAAAAGAAAAAAAAAAACAAAACAAAACGAUGCCGUUUUGUUUAGUUUCGGGGUUCGACCCGGGGCAAACAUCAUUUUCCUAUUAGAAAUAUUUUGUUAUUUUUAUAUACAAUGAGUAUUGCAAAUGGAAGAUUGUCUGUAUAGGCAUAUGGAGACAUGCAAGAAGUUGAUGGAUAUUUAAGAAAUUUUAAAGCAAUGUGCAGGGCGUUUACACAUAAAGAUUUUGCCUGAUAUCCUACGCAAAUCAAAUCGUGGUGAUGAUGAAUUCAAAGAAAUGUUUCUGAACUAUACAAAUUUGUGUUAAUAUGAACAAAUAGAUAGAGAUAGAUAUGGCUGUCAACCUAAACUUGGUAACAAAUUUGUGUUAAUAUGAACAAAUUUUUGUGUUACACAAAAAUGAUAUAUACAAAUUCCACACUAGCUGUAGCCCAUUUAGGAGUGGUUAAUAUGAGACAAGGGAAAAGUUAUCCAUAAUCAACUCUAUUAUAUUAAUCAUCUUUUACUCCCUCUUUCACCUAAUUUGGGUAUCUAGUUUGAUGACGAAAAACGUGCAUUGACUUACACGUAUGUAACACUUUAAUAUUAUUAAAAGAAAUUCAAUAGAAACAAAUAAAUUAUAUUUUUUUCCGUGGAUUUCAUUAAAAGUUUCAUGUCACUAGUUUUUCAUAUUUACAGCAGCUAGUAAAGAGCAAAGCUACACUAGCUGUGGUCAUGAAUAUGCUAUAAAGAGCAGAUAAAGGGAAACAAGUUAAUUAGAACAUAAUACUUCAGCAAAAAAUGAUUAUAAGUUGGUGACUAUCGAUGGCCAGGAAGUGGCCAACUAGCCAAGCAGCAAGCAAAAGAAGAACCAACCAAGCAGCAUGCAGAAGAAGAAUCACUGAUUCACUGACGGCGACAACUUGCAGAGGAAGAUGUAGGGGCUUCGUAGACAACUAGCUGACUAUGUUUUAGUAAUUUUGUUUAGGGAUACAUUUUGCAAAAUAUAACUUAGUAAUUGGCAAAAAAAAAAAAUGUGGUCCUCAACACCUCGCCCUCCAUUUCAGCAAAUUAACAUCACUCCUCCCUCAGUUUACCUUAUCUCCAAACCUCGUUCAUAAUAAUGAUUGUGAAAUUAUUGGUAUGUUAUGAAUCCUUUCCAAAAAUAUCAAUGACAAACACAAUAUAACAGCAGUGGAUUCAUUAUAGACCUGUUUAGACAAAGAUAGAAAUAACUUACUGCUAUAAUCCUCUGAGCUGCAGCCAAGGCUGAUGUUUUCAAACAGGUUUUUGGGAGUAGAAGUUUCCUCCUUUAUCAAGCAAAUCCUACAAACAUGGAAGAAGAAUGGAAAUUUAAAAAAAAAAAAGACAUUACCAAACUAACUUCUUCACUAUCGAAAAUUCAUAAAUAUUAUUUCCAAAUUAGAAUUAGUUUUAAAAAAAUUCAAAUCAAUAUUAUCCAUCAACAAUCAACGACAUAGAUCAAAGAACAUACUUCAGCAAAAAUGCAAUAAAAGUGGGUGACUAUCGAUGGCAAUUAAUCGGCGAAACCACGAGAAAUCUUGAUGGCGGCAUUCAACCGACCAGCCAAGCCGCAAGUGGAAGAAGAAGCACCGACGGCAACGACUUGUAGACGAAUCGAUUAGGAUUUGAUUAUUAUGUUUCAAUUUGGCACCGUCUCUUUUUACCCUUCACAAUCCCUUAAUCUGACUAUUCCGUCUUCGAUUUUUGAUUUUU
rnacentral:lncRNA from 1 species